rnacentral:rRNA from 1 species
UACGUAGGGUGCGAGCGUUGUCCGGAAUUAUUGGGCGUAAAGGGCUCGUAGGCGGUUUGUCGCGUCGGGAGUGAAAACCAUGGGCUUAACUCAUGGCUUGCUUCCGAUACGGGCAGACUAGAGGCAUGCAGGGGGAGAACGGAAUUCCUGGUGUAGCGGUGAAAUGCGCAGAUAUCAGGAGGAACACCGGUGGCGAAGGCGGUUCUCUGGGCAUGUCCUGACGCUGAGGAGCGAAAGUGUGGGGAGCGAACAGG